ACUGCGAUUCAGACAAAGUGGAUUAGCGGCCCCUGCCUGAGCCGCGCCCCGCCCAGAGCCAGCGCUGCACCCCGGAGCCUGAUUGCCUAUUCUGAGCUGGUUCAACUCGUAAUUUGUUGGCUCAAAGACUCAAGUGUUUGAAUGCUUGGUCCCCAGCUGGCAGCGCUGUGUUUAGAACAUCUUGGAAUCUUAAGGAGAAAGAGCUGGAGAGAAGAGAGUGAGGAAGAGAAGAGGCUCAGAUCCCAUAGGGGAAUGCCUAUCAACCAGCAAUGGUGGCUCCUGGCUUUAGAACUGGCAAGUGGGGAAAGUUCUCAAGAGUCCAUCUGUGAUCUCAGCACUCAAGAGGGAGGGCCAGGAAGACUGAUACAGCCAGCCUGGGCCUGUAGAGAGAAAUAAAAGGGAUGGGCAACAGACACACAGAGAUUCUAACACCCUGAAGCUGAGACCAAGCAUCCUGUUUCUCGAGCAUGAGGAUGGAGCCAGGGCAGAGUUCUACCUUCCCCAGCAACUCAGUCUACAGAGUGGAGAACUUGAAGAUUCAAGGUAAACAGCUCCUGCCAAAGGCCUCCACUUGACCCUCUUUGUAAACCUAAGAUUCAGCUGACCCAAACAGCCCCUGAACUAACCGAGAGAAGCAUUACUAAGGAAAUCCUGGCAUGGUGGCACACUACUGCAAUCUCAGCGCUUGGAAGGAGGAGGCAGGAGGAUCAGGAGUUCAAGGUCAUGCUCUGACUACAUAAUGACUUCAAGGCCAGCCUGGUUUACAUGAGACCUUGUCUCAAAACAAAACAACAAAACAAAGGAAAAACUGACCAAGAUGACAAGAGAAUAGCCAGCCUCCGGAAGUGCCUGAGAAUCUCCUGGGUGCCCCCUGGUGGGGAGGUAUGGCACUACAAAGAGGCCAGCAACAUUCCAACCUCCUCCAUUGCUGAGCCACAUCUUGCUCCUGGCUCCCUAAACAUCCCGAUGAUUGAAUGUGAAUUGCUCGCUCAGUUAAGCCUCUGAGCCGCUGGCAUCAGGAGACAGGAUGAGGAGUGUUGAUGUGAAUUAGCACACAGCAAGUCCAGAGCACCCAUAUUUCUUUGCAAGAGUUGGGACAGAAAUGAGGAGCCAGUUUUAAACAGAAGAAACAUCACAUAAAUACACUUAAAAAAAAAAAAAGUCCCAACUGGGUGUGGUGCACCAUACCUAAAACCCCACGAUUUUUGGUAAUGAGGUAUGAGGAUCACAAAUUCAAGGCCAGAUUGGACUACCCAGCAGGGGCCCAGUGUCAAUGCUAACAGUGACAUCAGACCCUGAAGGUGAUACCAGACAGCACAAAAAUGGGAGUCCCAGAGAAGAUGGGUAUCGGGGAGGAAGCUUCAGGGUCCCCCAAUAAACUGUGAGCACCAGGAGGCCGGGCCUGCCAAGGAAAUAACUGGCUGUUGCCAGCAAUGUCAUGAAGCUCUGGGCUAGAGAGCUGCAGUGGACGUGGUUGCUUGAUGCUUCAGGUGUUUAGGACACAAAUAUUGAUUUCUGGACCCAAAGAUCAGCACACAGAGUCCUCAGCUUCGCAGAAGUCCUCAGCAGGGCAGCUGCACAAGCGGUGUUUCCUCUAAUGGUGAGUUUCGGUUUGUAGAAUGAGGGUUUGCUUUAAAAAUAAAGCGUGUCUUUUGAUGUGUAAGACGCGUGGGUGGGAAUGUGGGCUCACGAAUGCCAUGGCAGCCUUGUGGAGGUCAGAGGACAACCUACAGAGUGAGUGCUCUCCUUCUGGCAUGUAGGACCCAGGAACUACACUCGGGUUGCUGAGCUUCAUGGAAGACAUAUUAUCCUUUGGGCCACCUCUCAGGGCCUCAUUUUGAUUUUGAGGCAGUGUCUCUCUGGUUCCUAUUUGAUGAUAUUCCAGGCUAGCUGGAAUAAUAGUUUCCAGGCAAUUCUCUUCUCUCUCUCUCUGCCUCCUGUCUCAUUGUAGGAACAUUGAGUUCACAGACUCAUGCCACUACAUUUGGCUUUUUAAGUGAUAUGUGUGGCUUUCAUACACUGAGUCAUUUCAUUGGCCCAAGAAGGGACCACUUUUGACACAGUCCAAGAAUAGAAACCUGAUGAACAGCAAAGUCCAUGCGACUCUGAGGGGUAAAAAGCAUGUAGCUCUGGACCCUAGGGGCUGGAUGAGGAUGGAGAAGCAAGGUCCCACACUUCAGCAGGUUCCCCACAUCCCAGUCAGGUCCCCCUAGUCAUAUUACGCUCACUCUCCAGCCCCUGCUUCUGCUGAUGAGGACAGUGAAUGCCCAUGGGUAGGAGGUUACAUCUUGGAGGCUUCCUGUAUAUCAGUCAGUGUGAGCAAACAUCUCUAUAUGGUUUGCUUUGUGCUAGGCUCCUGCUAGGCACAUCAUAGAAGAGGCUUUCAAUAAAUAUUUGUGAGCUUUUGGGAAUAUAAACCUAUGAGCUUUCCCUGGGCUGAAAGCCAGCUCCCACCUCCAAGUACUUCCAGCAAUUUCCCUGGAAGCAGUGUCCAGGGAGAGGGGGUGAAUGGAGCAAGAAUUGCAGGUGCUCAGAAAUGGGAAGGUGCCAUGCCCCUUCCACACCAGCAUCCGCCAGGCUUGCUGAGGUAGCUCCCUGUUAUUCUACCACCUUCCAGAAAAUACACGGCGCCACUGGCCUUGAUAAACACCAUCUCUCAAUCCGCCCUUUGCCUCACUGUGUGCCUUUCUCUCAGGUACUUAGUCCCACUAACUCGAUCUGCAUUUUUGACUCUGGGCUGCCGUCACGUGAGUCCCCAAGUCCAGUGGCUUUAGGGGCUAAUGGAUCACAGGGUCCACGCCGAGGCAGCCGCGUCCAUGCAGUCACACUUGGUUAUAAAUAUCUAUAGAGUGCAAUACCAAAUAAUUGUGGGGCAUAUUUCACCCUGCCUGUUGAACACAUCGCAAGAAAGGAAUUGAUCCCUGCUGUUUCAUUUAUUAGAUGGUGUAAUACCACAAAAAUCGUUUCCACAAUAUCCCAAACUAAAUCAUUUAUUCUUGACAAAAAUCCAAUAAAGAGCUCGAUCCUUCUCCAUAGGCAGAUAAAGUACAGAUUAAUGGGGCUGCCUAGAUCAAAAAAUACUGGGAAAAUGAAAGUGAGAUAGAGAGAGAAAGCUCCUUCCUCCUCCUCACUUCCCCAAGGCUGCCUCGGCUCAGGGUUUUAUUACAAAAAGCCGCCUAAGUAUUACAGGCUAAUCCGUAAAUCCCAGCCUAGUAAAAUAUGUGACGGAUUUGUAAAUCGUGCCCUUUACAAAUCAGAUUGAACUUUUUUUUUUCCCGAAGAGUUUGCCUUCCUCGUUCCCCCUUUCUUCUCACUUCCCCCCACCUCGUCGAAUUUCCUCACUGCUGUCCCAGACUCUGAUGUCCCACGCUCCAUAACCAGGGCCUAGGUCUCCCCAUCACCUCCCUGGUUUGGUUCAGCUCUGCUCUGUGACCCUUUUCCAACCUGACAUAUGGAGGGUUGGAAUCAGAGGUGGGUCAAGAGGCUGAUGUACAUCACCAUACACCAGGAAGUCAGAUGAUGGGGGUAGUGUCUAGGCUAAGGUUGGCAUCAGGCAUACCAGGAGGCAGAGUCACAGGCUUACCUACAGCCAAGUGCAAACAGGUCAAGGAUUUGAAGGCACUCUACAUUGUUUCAGUGGAGAACAAAGAGACCAAGUGGGCGAACCUCAGAACCUAGGCAAACCCACUGGAAGAGGCUUGCCAGAUUUGCUGGUUGGUUUUUGUCAAGUUGACACAAACAAGGGUCAACUGGAAGAAGGACCCUCCCUUAAGGGACUGCCUCCAUCAAGUUGACCUAUGGGUAUGUCUGUGGGGUGUUUUCUUGAUUAAUGAUUGACAUAGGAGGGUCUAUGGGUGACCCAGCCCACUAUGGGUGGUGUCAUCCCCUAGCAGGUGGCCCUAGGUUGUGUAAUAAAGCAGGCUGAUCAAGCCAUGGAGAGUAAGCCGGUAAGCAGCAUUCUCCCAUGAUGCUUCAGCUCCUGCCUCCAGAUCCCUGCCUUGGCUUUCCUUGAUGAUGGACCAUCAAUCACUUGGAAGUGUAAGCUGAAACAAAUUCUUCAUUCCCCUUAGUCGAUUUUGGCCAGUGUUUUAUCGCAGACACAGCAAAGAAAACUAAAGUACCAGUGGAUCUAUUUCUCUGUCCUAUUUCACCCUAAACCACCUUGAACCACCCAUGGUGUGCAGUUCCUCAGGGUCCACCCAAGGUAUCUACCCAGUACUCUCCACUGUACAUACCAGUUCCUGAGGACCCGAGGACUUCAGUGUGCCCUGGAUCAAGACUAGGUAUGUUCCUUGGAUACAGGACACUCAUCAUAAAUCCACCAAAGUCCCAGGCGAAUAGCUAAGUUAUCUACCUUGCACCCUCCGCUUAAAGCUCUGGUUGCUCAGGCUGGCUUUCUGCAGCCCCUGUUUACCACUUCCCUCAAUGAAGCCAACAGACAUGUCAGCAAUUGGCUGGACAGUCAUUUGGUUCUGCGCUUGAGUCCCAGAUAUGUCACUUUCUAACCUGUGGGUAUUGGCCAAGCCACAGUCUUUCCUUGCCUCAGUUUCCCCGAAGGAAAAUGGGAAUGUUAGCUAUUCCAUAGUAUAUAUUGAGCCAACAUGAAACAUGCUUCCUUCAAUAAAAAAAGUCAUAGGAUGCAGAAAAUCCCAGAAAGCUGUAGGGUGAUGCCUUUCCUCCACCCACAGCAGGAGCAGGCUCUCAGCCCUACUAUGGGAGCCUAGCUAGAGCCUGGCUGGAAGUCUUUAAAGCAGCUCAUACUGCAAACUGCUGAGGAGCAGAGGAUGCUGGGACCACUCUUUCUGCUUGGUGCUAUGUCUUGUAUCAUUUUGAUCCUGGGAGAGUGUACCCAAGUACUCCAACAAAAAUGUCUGCUGCUUUUGUCACAGAUUUUCAAAGGCAAGGGAAAGAGUGAGCUGGAAUGGUUGCCCUGGCAACUUUCCUUCCGGAUCCCCAUCACCACCACCACCACAUACACACACACACACACACACACACACACACACACACACACACACACACACAGAGGGGGGAGCGGGGGGAAGAGUUUGGCCCGUUCACUAUGAAAGCAGGUCUGCAGAGGAGGGAGGGAAGGGUACUGGGGCCAGCAGUUCCUGGAAUGGCAUUUUGCAGCUUUAUAGAAAUGCAAUAAAAUGGUAAUUGCCUUAGAACUCUACUGCAGCUCCCCCAGUCCUUGCCCAUUACACUCUUCCAUUUGCCAUUGCAGGAUGGAGCUGUCCCUCAAAUUCCUGAGUGGUGGCUGCUGGGAAAUUCACUGUACUGUUCCACUUCCAUCUUGUUGAAGGAAUGUGGUGGGGGCUGGGGAGAGGGUGCAGCCCCUAAAGUGCUUCAUGAGUACCUGAGUUUGGAUCUGCAGCAUCCGUCUAUAAAAACAGGUGCACUGUCUGUCUGUCCCUCCAGUACUGAAAGGGGAUUCAGGGAUCUCACUGAUCAGCCAGCCUAGCUGAUUCAGUGAGAGACCCUGCCUCAAAAAAUAAGAUGAGAACAACCAAAGAAGACAAGCUUGUGACCUUUAGCCACCGCAUGAGCCACAGACCCACACAGACGCUCGUAUAUACAUUAUGUGCUUCCACACUUGUGUGCAUAAGUGGUUGAUUUCGAGGGAGAUGUGGAAGUAGGAGGGAGACAGAGGAAGGGACGGGGGCAGUUAGAUCCAAAAGACCUCAUUCUCUUGGCUGGGGCAGUUAGAUCCAAAGGACCUCAUUCUCUUGGCUGGGGUACUUAGAUCCAAAGGACCCCAUUCUCUUACCUGGGGUACUUAGAUCCAAAGGACCUCAUUCUCUUGUCUGGGGCAGUUAGAUCCAAAGGACCUCAUUCUCUUGGCUGGGGCAAUUAGAGCCAGAGGACCUCAUUCUCUUGACUGAUCCCACUUCAAAAAGACCCAGAGAAUUCAAGCUGCCCAGUGUGAGCAGGAAUGGAAAGGAACACAGGGCCUGCUGGAGAUGAAACCUGAAGCACCACCCGGAGUAGGCAGCAGGUAACUGCUAGGUACCUGCCCCCACCCAGGGAGUGACCGAGACCUGAGAUGCAUACGUGCUUGCUCUCUCUUGGCUACCUCGUGAUCCUGGAUGCUGGAUGCUGGACUGCAGACCAAAUUGGAGUUCUCUAGAGAGCCACUUUGGACUGUGCCUCACCUCUCCUGGAUCUCUUAACUGACCCAUUUGCUUGCUGUAAGU